rnacentral:rRNA from 1 species
GGCGAUGUUUCAUUCAAAUUUCUGCCCUAUCAACUUUCGACGGUAGGGUAGUGGCCUACCGUGGUGGUAACGGGUGACGGAGGAUUAGGGUUCGAUUCCGGAGAGGGAGCCUGAGAAACGGCUACCACAUCCAAGGAAGGCAGCAGGCGCGCAAAUUACCCAAAUCCCAACUCGGGGAGGUAGUGACAAGAAAUAACGAUGCUCCGGCCAUCGGUCGGGUAAUCGGAAUGAGAACAAUUUAAAUCCCUUAUCGAGGAUCAAUUGGAGGGCAAGUCUGGUGCCAGCAGCCGCGGUAAUUCCAGCUCCAAUAGCGUAUAUUUAAGUUGCUGCGGUUAAAAAGCUCGUAGUCGGAUUUCGGGUGGUGCCUGCCGGUCCGCCUUUGGUGAGUACUGGUAGGCGCUACCUUUCUGCCGAGGACGGGUUCCUGGGCUUAACUGUCUGGGGCCCGGAGUCGGCGAUGUCACUUUGAGUAAAUUAGGGUGUUUAAAGCAGGCUUAUGCUCUGUAUACACUAGCAUGGGAUGACACGAUAGGACUUCGGUCUAUCUUGUCGGUCUGUAGAUCGGAGUAAUGAUUAAGAGGGACAGUCGGGGGCAUUCGUAUUUCGUAGUCAGAGGUGAAAUUCUUGGAUUUACGGAAGACGAACUUCUGCGAAAGCAUUUGCCAAGGAUGUUUUCAUUGAUCAAGAACGAAAGUCGGGGGCUCGAAGACGAUUAGAUACCGUCGUAGUCUCGACCAUAAACGAUGC